rnacentral:rRNA from 1 species
UGGCGGCCUAUACUGCAGUCGAGGGGUAGAGGAGAGCUUGCUUUCCUUGAGACCGGCGCACGGGUGCGUAACGCGUAUGCAACCUACCUUAAUCUGGGGGAUAGCCUCUCGAAAGAGAGAUUAACACCGCAUAAAAUCAAAGAACGGCAUCGUUUAAUGAUCAAAUAUUUAUAGGAUUAAGAUGGGCAUGCGUGACAUUAGCUAGUUGGUGAGGUAACGGCUCACCAAGGCGACGAUGUCUAGGGGAUCUGAGAGGAUGACCCCCCACACUGGUACUGAGACACGGACCAGACUCCUACGGGAGGCAGCAGUAAGGAAUAUUGGUCAAUGGAGGCAACUCUGAACCAGCCAUGCCGCGUGCAGGAAGACGGCCCUACGGGUUGUAAACUGCUUUUAUUCGGGAAUAAACCUCUUUACGUGUAAAGAGUUGAAUGUACCGAAAGAAUAAGGAUCGGCUAACUCCGUGCCAGCAGCCGCGGUAAUACGGAGGAUCCAAGCGUUAUCCGGAUUUAUUGGGUUUAAAGGGUGCGUAGGCGGCUUAUUAAGUCAGGGGUGAAAGACGGUGGCUCAACCAUCGCAGUGCCUUUGAUACUGAUGAGCUUGAAUACACUAGAGGUAGGCGGAAUGUGACAAGUAGCGGUGAAAUGCAUAGAUAUGUCACAGAACACCAAUUGCGAAGGCAGCUUACUAUGGUGUCAUUGACGCUGAGGCACGAAAGCGUGGGGAUCAAACAGGAUUAGAUACCCUGGUAGUCCACGCCCUAAACGAUGAAUACUCGAUGUUAGCGAUAUACAGUUAGCGUCUAAGCGAAAGCGUUAAGUAUUCCACCCUGGGAGUA